GAUUCCCUGAGUAGCGGCGAGCGAAACGGGAACAGCCCAAACCAAGAGGCUUGCCUCUUGGGGUUGUAGGACACUCUGUACGGAGUUACAAAGGAACGAGGUAGAUGAAGAGGUCUGGAAAGGCCCGCCAUAGGAGGUAACAGCCCUGUAGUCAAAACUUCGUUCUCUCCUGAGUGGAUCCUGAGUACGGCGGAACACGUGAAAUUCCGUCGGAAUCCGGGAGGACCAUCUCCCAAGGCUAAAUACUCCCUAGUGACCGAUAGUGAACCAGUACCGUGAGGGAAAGGUGAAAAGCACCCCGGAAGGGGAGUGAAAGAGAUCCUGAAACCGUGUGCCUACAAGUAGUCAGAGCCCGUUAACGGGUGAUGGCGUGCCUUUUGUAGAAUGAACCGGCGAGUUACGAUCCCGUGCAAGGUUAAGUUUGAAAAGACGGAGCCGCAGCGAAAGCGAGUCUGAAUAGGGCGCAUGAGUACGUGGUCGUAGACCCGAAACCAGGUGAUCUACCCAUGUCCAGGGUGAAGUUCAGGUAACACUGAAUGGAGGCCCGAACCCACGCACGUUGAAAAGUGCGGGGAUGAGGUGUGGGUAGGGGUGAAAUGCCAAUCGAACCUGGAGAUAGCUGGUUCUCUCCGAAAUAGCUUUAGGGCUAGCCUCAAGGUAAGAGUCUUGGAGGUAGAGCACUGAUUGGACUAGGGGCCCCUACCGGGUUACCGAAUUCAGUCAAACUCCGAAUGCCAAAGACUUAUCCUUGGGAGUCAGACUGCGAGUGAUAAGAUCCGUAGUCGAAAGGGAAACAGCCCAGACCGCCAGCUAAGGUCCCAAAGUAUACGUUAAGUGGAAAAGGAUGUGGAGUUGCUUAAACAACCAGGAUGUUGGCUUAAAAACAGCCACCAUUUAAAGAAUGCGUACUAGUUCACUGGUCGAGUGAUUCUGCGCCGAAAAUGUACCGGGGCUAAACGUAACACCGAA
rnacentral:rRNA from 2 species